rnacentral:lncRNA from 1 species
UGUGUUUUGGUCUAUUUUUCUUAAACUAUAAGUAAUAGGUCAACUAUAUUUGUUGUAUGGAAGCAUUGUAAUCUGUACAUGUCUGCCUGGCAUGGUUCAUCUGACCUUGACCUCAUUUUUCAUGGUUCAUUGGUCUUUGUUUAGUUAUCUUGGUUAAUGUUAAGUUUAUGUGACAGUUUUUAAUAAGGCUUUAUACUUAGGACUAUCAACAUAAUAUCAAUGAUUAGUAAAGAAGGCGAGACAUUUCAGCGUGUGCACUCUUGUUUGAUUUGGAGGGGGGUCUUAUGUGUGCAGUGCUCAUAGUUUUUCUAGUUGAUCAUUAAAAUUCAUUUAUAGCAUAAAGACCAACUAAAAGGGCAACAAGCUUAUCAAGCACUCAUGGUACAGAUUUUUAUUAAACACACAUUAAUAUACAUCAUGUACAUUAAACAGCAAAAAAAACAUUGAUGCAAGAUGUCAUUCAAUACUAACUUUUACUCUUUUAUGUAUAGGACAAAAACUAUAGAAGAAUUAAGAAUUAUAAACAGCAGAAAUGAUAGGCAAUUUAAAAUUUGCACAAGCCAACUAAACCUAAAUGGUAAGGCCACUUUUAUUUUUAAAAAAGUUAUUGAACUUGAAAGACAGUUAUCAUGAUUACUAUAAUAAUUAAAAGAUGUGGUAUAUUAAAUAUGAAAACUAUUGAUCAUGGCUAAAAGAAAGCAAUUGUAGGCCUGUGACGACCUUCAAUAAUGAGAAAAUCCGUACCCUAUAGUCAAAGUAGGCAGCUAUAAAAGACCCUCAGAUGAAAAAUUGAAACAAUCAAAACUGUAAAACUAAAUGCCUAGUUUAUAACAAAAUAAAUUACAAAAAAAAAAAUAUGAAAAGUAUGAAACAACAACAACCACUAAAUUUUAGUGUCAGACUAAACUGACAAAAACUGCAGGCUCUAAACUUUGGACAGGCACAAUAGGAAUAUGGCAAGGUUAUAUUAAAUAUAAGAUGUGGCAUGAUUGCCAAUAAGACAACCCUCCACCAGACAACCAAUGAUUUAAAUUUCCUGAAAACACAGACUGGACUACUGUAAACCAAC